CUGGCGGCGUGCCUAAUACAUGCAAGUCGAACGCACUCUCGUUUAGAUUGAAGGAGCUUGCUCCUGAUUGAUAAACAUUUGAGUGAGUGGCGGACGGGUGAGUAACACGUGGGUAACCUGCCCUAAAGUGGGGGAUAACAUUUGGAAACAGAUGCUAAUAGCGCAUAAAACCUAACACCGCAUGGUGUAGGGUUGAAAGAUGGUUUCGGCUAUCACUUUAGGAUGGACCCGCGGUGCAUUAGUUAGUUGGUGAGGUAAAGGCUCACCAAGACCGUGAUGCAUAGCCGACCUGAGAGGGUAAUCGGCCACACUGGGACUGAGACACGGCCCAGACUCCUACGGGAGGCAGCAGUAGGGAAUCUUCCACAAUGGACGAAAGUCUGAUGGAGCAACGCCGCGUGAGUGAAGAAGGUUUUCGGAUCGUAAAACUCUGUUGUUGGAGAAGAAUGUAUCUGAUAGUAACUGAUCAGGUAGUGACGGUAUCCAACCAGAAAGCCACGGCUAACUACGUG
rnacentral:rRNA from 1 species